UACGUAGGGGGCAAGCGUUGUCCGGAUUCAUUGGGCGUAAAGAGCGUGUAGGCGGCCAGGUAGGUCGGUUGUGAAAACUGGAGGCUCAACCUUCAGAGGUCGACCGAAACCAUCUGGCUAGAGUCCGGGAGAGGAGAGUGGAAUUCCUGGUGUAGCGGUGAAAUGCGCAGAUAUCAGGAAGAACACCCGUGGCGAAAGCGGCUCUCUGGAACGGUACUGACGCGGAGACGCGAAAGCGUGGGGAGCGAACAGG
rnacentral:rRNA from 1 species